rnacentral:lncRNA from 1 species
UUCAAAUAUUAAAAGGAAAUACUACAUACAAACCAUACCAUAUAUAUGUUGUAAACAUAUAGUUUAUUUGAUACGAUUCAGCGAUUAGUAAAACAUUUAGUUUUUUAUUUCGAUUCAGCGACCUUUUCUUGCUCCAUUGGCAAAGUGUAACUUAUUACUGUGUGAAUCCAAGGAUACAACUUUAAAAUAUUAAUGAAAAUAAACGAAUGGUACACAAACAACGAUCUGAAAUGAACCGCUACCGGACAGCGAUGAUACAGUGAAAGGGAAUCAAACUUGACUUUUAAGAGAAAACACGAUUAAGGUAAAAAAAUAAUAAAACAUAUGUUUUGAUUCAAAUUUCACGUUCUUGAAUGCUAGUAGGUACUCAUAAUAAAUAAAUGCUUUUUAAUUCUACUGUUCGUCAUUUUCAGUUAAAUUGGCAUUGCAACGUCUUAUACGGUUUUGGAUAUUAGCAUAUAAAUAUUUUGGAAUCUCUGAAGAAUCAUUAUUUGUCUAAAUCAUCUAGUGCAGUAAAAUUCGUACUGUUUACUGUUUGUUAUUUUAUCCAAACAUUUUAAGUGAUUUGAAAUGAUUUUAUCUAUUUAGAAAAAAGUUUAAUGGAUAUGUGGUGUAUAUGUCAGUAGGACACCAACUUAACGUUGUACUCUACAUCAGCAUAACACUUCAUGUCAAUGAGUUCACACGUUUUCAAUCAUUCAUUUAUGAACAAGUUCGACGAAAACUAACUGGCCCAACAUAUUAGCAAGCCAUAAAUUUGAUGCCCUUUGAGCAUUCUGCAUUUUAAUGCUGUUAUCCCAGCUAAUAAUGCAUAAAACAAUAUUGUUUUCAUAUGCAAAUAUCACCAUUUUCAUAUUGAAAUCAUUUAAAAAUGUUUGAGAAGACAACUUUCAUUAAACCCAAAGGAAUAGAUACAACAAAAUCACUUAUAAAUUUCAUAUUUAGAUAUAUAUAUUUAGAUAUAUAUAUAUAUAUAUAUAUAUCUCGAUAAUGCUGUUAAAAAAUAAAAAAAUUCGGUCGGUAAUUUCUACGUAUAUACACUUGGCAACUUUAACUUAAAGAUACUCUAUAAAAAAAAUGAUGACUGUACAACUUUCUUUACUUUAAGAUUUAUCAAACGUUCUCUAUUCUUCCCUAAUUUGCAAUUUUUAAUUAUUCUGGUAAUUUCUGUGAGCAAUUUAAGCGUUAUUCGUGAAAAAAAUGUAUUAAUGUAUAUAUUUAAUAUUUACAGGAAAAUCAUGGCUUACUGUGAAAUACUAAAGCUCUUUUAAAUUAAUGGAAUGUUAAUUUUGAUUCAUAUACCAAAAGUGACUGUGGAUAAAGUGUCGUUAACGUACGUCGAACCAGGAGUCCUAUAUGGAUAUCGGUUGGAAUACCAGACGGUCAUUUACUAUCUCAAGAGCAUAUUUCAAUUUCAUAAUGAAACCGUUAAUAUUUGGACUCAUCUAGUGCCAUUUUGUUUCGUAUUUUUGAAAACGUAUAGCUGCAUCAACAAUUUAGGAGACGUAACAUAUGUUUCUGUGUUGUUAUGCUUUGCAUUUGGUUCUAUCAUGUACACAUUGUUCAGCGUCCUUGCGCACACCUUACACUCGAAAGCUCCUAUAUAUCACUAUACAUGUUAUACUCUUGACUACAUGGGAAUAGGAUACUAUGCGUUAGGUGCUUGCAUACUCGUAUACUACUGUAGUUGUCAUGAGAAAUACUACGCAAUGUUGGAGAACUGUUUCCUUCCUGUGGUGGUAGUAAUGAGCUGGUUUGGGUUCUUCUGCUGUACUCGUUUCCAAACUUCACUACAGACGACCGUAUCCAUUUCAGCGAAAGUUAUGGAGCAUAUGCUCAUUCGGAUUUCAAUUUGUGUUAGUUUCCUCUGUAGUGAUUGCUAGAUAUUAUGACAGUUUGAUGGAUAAUACAAUAUCAUUCCCGAAUCAUCACACCCUUAUUUUUGUUUAUUUUCUUGUAUCUGUUUUCUUUUGUUUCUAGUCAUAUACCCGAGAAAUUCUAUCCUGGAACCUUUGAUUUCAUUGGAACGGACAACAAAUAUUCCACAUAAUGGUUUCGCUUGGAACUCUUGAACAAUUUAACGCAGCUAUGAUAGACAUUAGCUAUCAGACUCCGUUAUUGACCAAUCACAAACCUCGUGCCGAUCAGAUCGUACUGUCUAUGAUAGCGUAUACAGUAAUGGCUCUUACUACCAUUUAUUUUCUUAGACCUAUAAUACAAAAUCGUAUCAAAGAAGAUGUCGAGUUGGAGCAAAUGAGGAAGAGGAAAAAAUAAAGAUUUAUUUGGAAUAUUACUAACGAAUGCUUUAAAAAGUUUAUACGAAAAUACGAAAUACGAAAUAUUCUAUUAAAGAAAGCUCAAUUAUGAACAUAAACAUUAAUAGCAUAGAUACAACAAAGAGUAACAUUUAAACAAUCUUAACUAAAAGUGAUACUACACAAGUAUCAAGGUAUGUGUGUUCCAAGGGGAGUAACUCUAGUGUAAAAAAUAUCAGUAAUCAUUUUACAUAUUAUAAGCAGCAAACAAAAAUUUCACACUUAUAUUCUAAGUAAAAUACACAUGUUUAUGUACUUAGCUAUACUUUAACAUACAUCAGUGUCUUCAUUACUUAACAACCACAUAAACUGAGAAUCA